AUAUCACAUGUUUCGCUGAAUUCUCGAGAUGAAGAUGGAUUUCACAUUUCCUAAUUUAUGUCAAUCACGAACCUGGACGUGCAUACGUCCAUAAUCUUAAACAAUCAGUCAUUUCCAUAAUUUGCGAGACCCGUGAACUCUAUAAAAACCGAAGCUUCCAUCACCGAUUGACCCCGGACAAACCUGUUUCGACACAAUCUCACACACACCAACAACAUCUUUUCGAAUCAUUUGGAGUCGCCGGAGCUCUUGCCGGAGCUCUUGCCGGAGAACUGGAAGUCACCGGAGUUGGAGGUCUCGCCGGAACCGGAGUCGCGACUAAGUCUCGAGUCUGUUCGUUUCGGAUAAUCGCUUGCUCGUUCUCUUGGAUUGUUCCAAUCCUACUAGUGCAUACUUCCAAGAAAUCUCCAUACGCGACAAAUGUUGAUAGACGAAGUGAUCAAGAAAACAAGCUAGGAUGAACCUAGAAACCCAUCUAGAAUAAACAAUGUUUUGAACUAUUUUUGGUUAUGCAGUAGUUUAGCAUGGUUCAACAUAUACCCCGAGUAUACCAAUAACUGUUGGAGAGCUUGCAAGGCUGCGUAAAUUAACCCGGAUUGGGAAAACUGGGAGGGAUUGGACAAUACGACACGAUGUGUAUCUUUAUGCUUGGUACCAUCAUCAUGAAACCAUUGUGGAGGGUCAAACAAUCACCUCUCAUCCCGUCGGAGACGAUUACAUGUCGUGGUUCAUGCGCCAUACAAUACUUUACCUGACUAGUUCACAUGCGUGGUUUUCAAGAUGAUGGCCCUCGUGUCCAAAUGCUGACGGACGCAAUGGGAGUAAUACAACGGUCAGAUGGUUUGGAGUUCACCCAAGGUACCGCUUAUCGGGCUAUGGAAAUGUCACGCCAACAAGGAUAUUCAUAAUAUUCGAGUCAUUUGACAACGGACCCUGUGGACCUAACCUCUUAUCCUCGUCCGCAAAGGUUAAGCAGGUGACGCCAACGUCAGCAUGGAGGUUCAAACGUUGACGGGGCUGGCACUUCAAAUUGGGAUAUGAACCUGGAACAAGUGGGUCCAUCAUGUGUGAACGAAAAUCAAAAUAAUGAUCAAUAGGGUAUACUCGGGCUAGAGAAUAUGACUGUGGUGGUAAUCAAAAUUUUGAUCUGAGGAUCUAGAUUUUUGGGCCCUUAACAGAAUAUCCGACCUUAUCUCUGUGGAUGUUGACAACCAAAUAUAUACUGGUAAUGUCCAACACCAAACCAACAAUGAGCCAGUCGGGACCCAAAAUAAUCAACCGGUUUACAACCCCCACAUCACACAUGUUGACCUUUUUUCCAGAUAGCCAGACUGACUACAAUUAUUUUGCACCAAAUCAAAGUCAAGAAGAUCAUCGUGCCCAAUAUUCAAAUGUAAUACUCACCCCCUUAGACUGGGGCCAAAAUUUAGAUUUGAACCUCUUUAAUCAUCAACCACCACCCAACUAACUGUAUUAUAAUCCAAAUUUUAUUGUAAUCGUAAGUUUGUUGUAUUGUA